GACGAACGCUGGCGGCGUGCUUAACACAUGCAAGUCGAACGGAAAGACCCUGCUUUUGUUGGGUGCUCGAGUGGCGAACGGGUGAGUAACACGUGAGUAACCUGCCCUUGUCUUUGGGAUAACUUCACGAAACUGGGGCUAAUACCGGAUAUGAGCUCCUGCUGCAUGGUGUGGGUUGGAAAGUUUCGGCGGUUGGGGAUGGACUCGCGGCUUAUCAGCUUGUUUGGGGGGUAGUGGCUUACCAAGGCUUUGACGGGUAGCCGGCCUGAGAGGGUGACCGGCCACAUUGGGACUGCGAUACGGCCCAGACUCCUACGGGAGGCAGCAGUGGGGAAUAUUGCACAAUGGGCGGAAGCCUGAUGCAGCAACGCCGCGUGCGGGAUGACGGCCUUCGGGUUGUAAACCGAUUUCGCCUGUGACGAAGCGUGAGUGACGGUAAUGGGUAAAGAAGCACCGGCUAACUACGUG
rnacentral:rRNA from 1 species